CUUGAACUGAGGCAUCCAGUACAGAAAGAUCUCUAAGGAAAAAGCUUUAAGCUCCAGAUGUCAAGAGGAGACUAAAAAGAGAGAAUCUCCAGUGUCCUCACAGACACUAAAGACAAUUUUGUCUCCAGCACUACUUGGACAGGGAACGAAUACCUAUUACUGAUUUCAGAGGAGAGGAGAUGAAAGCUGUCUGCUCCUUUCUCUUCAGCCAGAACCUCCCGCACAGACAUGUCACCCAGUUUAAUCUAACAGGCAGUAGACACCCAUUCUCCUGCUUCCCAUACUCCUUUCCAUUCCCUCUCUGUAAUAUACUGUAUAAAGAUUUUUCAAUUAAGCUGUAUGAAUACUCAUUUUGGAUGUUCCUAUCUAUGUAGAUGAGAGAUUGUGGUAGAAGUUCUUGAGGGCUUCAUAUAUGCGAUUCUUAAAAGAUAAUCAAAGUUUAAUAAAUAAUUAUUGACUGUUGAUUGACUGAUAGAUAUUAAGAACAUUUCCAUCUCCUGACACUACCUGAGGCCCACUUCCAGGCAGACCUCACUAUGGAAAAACAACACCGAUUCUAAGAGAAGGAAAAGAGGAAUAAGAUUAAGCUGAGUGUUAAAUAUUCAAGGUCAAAGUACAAAGGUGGGGAACCUCUGAUUGUGGCUGAGUUUUUUCAAAUUAGAUAUAUUUAUGAGGAUACUUUUAUCACACCUUUAAAAAUCCUCAAA